rnacentral:tRNA from 1 species
GGUGCUGUGGGGUAACGGUUAACCUUAGGCUUCACCAUGAUUUCCACCACAUAAGCAUACUCUGUAGCCUAGCUGCAAGUUCGAAUCUCGCCAGCGCCA